CGGGGGCGUAAUGCCCUCGGCCUAUUCUCAAACUUUAAAUGGGUAAGAGCCAAGUGUUGCUUAAUCGAACACUGGCGUUGAAUGACGGUUGUUGGUGGGCCAUUCUGGGUAAGCUGGACUGGCGAUGCGGGAUGAACCGAAAGUUGAGUUAAAUUGCCUCACUGCCCGCUCACCUAGAGCCCACAAACGGUGUUGGUUCAUUUUGACAGCAGGACGGUGGUCAUGGA
rnacentral:rRNA from 1 species